rnacentral:rRNA from 1 species
ACUCCUACGGGAGGCAGCAGUGGGGAAUCUUGGACAAUGGGCGGGAGCCUGAUCCAGCCAUGCCGCGUGCAGGAAGACUGCCCUAUGGGUUGUAAACUGCUUUUGUACAGGAAGAAACACUCCCUCGUGAGGGAGCUUGACGGUACUGUAAGAAUAAGGAUCGGCUAACUCCGUGCCAGCAGCCGCGGUAAUACGGAGGAUCCAAGCGUUAUCCGGAAUCAUUGGGUUUAAAGGGUCCGUAGGUGGAUGAUUAAGUCAGAGGUGAAAUCCUGCAGCUCAACUGUAGAAUUGCCUUUGAUACUGGUUGUCUUGAAUUAUUGUGAAGUAGUUAGAAUAUGUGGUGUAGCGGUGAAAUGCAUAGAUAUCACAUAGAAUACCGAUUGCGAAGGCAGAUUACUAACAAUACAUUGACACUGAUGGACGAAAGCGUGGGGAGCGAACAGGAUUAGAUACCCUGGUAGGCGUAGU